UGCUGCUAGCUGCUUUCCCACCAUUUUAUUUUCAAGCCACGUCAGUUCAGUUGGCAUUAAUUCUCUGCAUAUAGAGAACCAUGAAUGGGUAAAAUCAUUUGCUUCAACCUUUGUCAUUCUUUUCCUUCAAGAGCUCUGCCAAAAAAAAAUCACACAUUCUUUAACUGAAGGAGAACUGGACUAGGUAUUUGACUGACAGUGUAAUAUUGAAACUUUUUAAAUAUUUUAAAUUUUAGCACAGUAGAUGAGUUAAGUAGCAGGGUGAUAAGACUGUACUGCAUUUCAGUCACAAUUUUGCAUGUUUUUCAGUAUUUGUCUUCUCUGUUCCAGGGUCACAAGGUACAUAUUUUUUCUACUUACACAGUUUACUCUUCUUCCCAUAGGACCACCAAGAUUCAAGCAAGGACAGUGGACCACAGAUGAGCCUGAUGGUGACCACACUACCGCAGGAACAUCAAAGAAGAGGACUUGGACAUCAGCUGAGGUCCAAGCUGUGGAAAAGACACUAAUGUCCUUCAUUGAGUCUGGUAAAGUACCAGGAAAGUCAGACUGCGUUGCCUGUAUUGAGGCUUCACCGAAAGCACUUAAAAACAGAACCUGGACAGCGGUAAAGUUCUAUGUGAAAAAUCGAAUCACUGCAAUGCAGCGUAAAGCUGCAAAAAGAGUUUAACAGCCUAAUCAGCCUGUUAUUAAUUGUUCAUUUGUGCCUUGUUUGCCCCUUUGCAAUGUUUUUACGUUCUGUGCUAGACCAAUGUUUUUGGACGUCAAAAAAAAAACGUUUGGAAAGAAUGGAACUCAUCCAUUUUAAUUAGUUUUAAUUAUGUUUUGAAAAGACAUUCCCGUUCUGACAUAUCUAAAAAUGCCACCUUGCUUAUCAGGGAGUACGGUCUUAUAUAUACUUAUAUUUAUACUUGUAUAUAAUAUGAUAUAUAUAGAUAGAGAUAUAUAUAGAGAGAGCGAGAGAGAGAGAGAUAUAGAGAGAGAUAUAUAGAGAGAGGGAUAUAAAUAUAUGUAUGUGUGGGUAUAUAGAGAUAUAGAAAAAUAGAUAUACACAUACACUGUUUGUUGGAUGUAAGGGGACUGAAUGUUUAACUUUAAAAGGCUGAAAUAAAUGUUAUGUGAAGGCAUAAGCUCAGUUUGUCUGCCCAUUUCGUACAGUAGGUGACUUCUUUUAACCGUCAAAUGUGGUUUGGAAGAAAACAUUGCAUGUGGUGGUUUCGGUAAAAAUAUUGUUUUGUUUUCUGUUAAAGCAGAUCUGAUGCUUCAUAUCUGAUGAAAAUCAACUGACAAACAGAAUUGAUUUAAAAUUAUUUUAUUAGCAUAUGUUCAGUCAUACCAAGUAAAACACUAUACAAAAUGUUACCUUUUGCUCAACUUUUACAACAUUCCUUAAUUUCAUAAAUAGUGUUUGUGUAAUUUCAUAACUUCCUAACUAAUAUUUUAGAAUCAGAUUAAAAAAAUAAAUUAAUGAAAUGAGUAUCUGGCAGUCAGGAUGAGAUUAAUAAAGCAAUCCAUCCAUUUUCUUCCAUUUACCCAAUUCAGGGUGUCAGUCAUUAUGUUAUAUGAUAGUAAGGUUUCAUGGAUCAGUAUUAUUAACUGUAAUCUCAUAGACACAUGACUGGUCCCCAGUAUCAGUAGAUAGGUUAUGUCUGGUCCCCAUUAAAACAAAAAUUCAGGUUAAAAAUUUAUUUGAGAGUGUUUGACUUUUCAAGUCUCAACACUCUCUAGAUGAAUUUAUUAUGAAUUUAGGAGUGAAAAUCAUGUCUUUACACCCUUUGGAAAGGGUGGAUCCCAUCAGGCACCUGUCACUCAGUGGUCCCCACGAUGUAGGAAAAACA